rnacentral:lncRNA from 1 species
CUUUGCUUACAGACGCUCAAGAUAUAUACAAGACUCAAUGUCAGAAAAUAACACUUAGGGAACCAUAUGGAUGCUUUAUCUCCAUGCCACAAACCAUCUGCAUGUUCUCUAGGUAUUCCAAAAAUCUUUUAAACCUAGCAUUUUUUCUCCCCAAAUCAUACUUACAAAAAGAUGACUUGAGGUGUUUUGAGCAGACUGAUUUUAUUUUAAGGAAACUGGGUUGCUAGAAAAAUAUAUCUAGAAAUUUAACCAUAAAGAGAAGGCAAAAUACUUCUAGAUUUCUAGAAUAUUUUGGUCUUCUGGAACACAGCUUGAGUAAAAUACAACGUCUUUUAUUAAUAGGCCGUUACUGAAAGUGAGAUGAAUUACUAAACUUUUCUAAGAAAAAGUAAGUGAGAACUUUUUGUUGAAUACAUGCUCUGGUUGUCUCCUGGAGUUCCCGCUGUGGCUCCUAGUGGGUAGACUUUAAGCAGCUGCUCCCUGGAACAUGGAGCCAUGGAACAUGGCUGCGAGGUAGGCAAAGGUGGUUUUCACCUGUGGAGUGAGUUCAAGAGUUCAGAGGUGAGCAGAGCUCACUUGGGUUGGGAGAGGGCCAGGUCGCUCUGUUUCAACCUCUAUGGAAUAACUGGCAAUGGCAAAGCAUGUUUCUCUGACAAGACACGAGAAGCUCAAGGCAGCCCUGGAUGGACUUGGGUGGAAGCUCAGAAUUCAGAGGAGGGGACGUGAUGGAGUGUCCAGUGCACAGACUGGCGGAGGGCUGGAGAGUGGGUGCCCACGUGGUUGAUCGGGUAACUUCCGUUUAAGGUCCAGGAAGCCGCACUUGGUACCGUGCCCAUUUACGCUCUUCUCAGAUGUGCCAUAACUAUUUCCUUCUUAUUUUGUCUUACUUUCUGGGCUGCUCUUUUUGAAUAAAAUUGGCCUGCUCACCUCUGCCAGCUGCUACUAAACGCUAAACGGGGAGUGAGUGUUUCUUGAGGGGGAAAGAACCCUAAAGAGUUUCUGGUGAAGCUCAAGGACUUCGUUAGGGGCUGAUGACUCCCUGAACUCUCCCGACUUGGCGAUUCUUCAUCUGUCAGAAUUUGGGGAGGACCACAGCAUCACCUGUAGACAUCAUCACGGGUGUUCCAAACACCUGCAAUACAUGAACGAAACACAGCACUAGGCAAUCUUAGCAAGACAUAAAACUGCCUAUUUUCUUAUCAAUGUUUGGCCAUGUUAAGAAAAAACUGAUGGAGUCGAUCAGAUGAUCUAGCAGUUUUUCCAGUUCUUAAAUGCCAUGGAUCUAAAAGAAGGAAAACAGGAGUAAAAAGAGAACACUCGUGGAUGAUGAUUCUAAUGUGUCCCCUGGCUCAUUGGUAGGAAAAUCCCGUUAAGACGUAAACAUCCAGAGGCGCAAUUGCUGGACUGAGGUUUUUUAUAAUAUCCUUACAAUUUCAUCACAUUGUAAAGAUCACAGAAGUCAAGGUCUCCCUUUAAGGUCACUCCUGACCCCCAGCACCAUCUUCCUCUCUUCCAGGUGAUGUUCUUGUUGGUGCCCUCCUUGCUCCUCUCAUCUGGGGUGGCAGUUUAGUGAUGUGGC